AAGUCCUCAAACCUUUUAUGCUUGUAUAAAGCUUUGUUUAUUUUAAUUACAUAAAAAUAUGAUAUAAUAUAUCAUUAAUUAAAAAAACUAAUGUGCUUCAAUCACAUAUGUAGUACCAAAGUUGAAACGCUUACAAGAAUCUAUGGUCAGUUCAGAAUCUUCUAAUAAUUGUUCAAUGUCUCGAUUCCAAACACAUCCCCAAGACUCAUAAUGUGAUUCCGCAUAUGCAUUUAAAAUUCUAUUUAGGAACUUGUAUUUUCCUUUGCCAUGUUCUAUCAGUAAAAUACGACCAUCGGAACGCAAUAAAGAGCGAUAGUUAUUUAAUUGUUCGACCGCUUUUUCUUGAGAGCAAAUACAAAAUGUUUGAAUGAUAGUGUCAUAACUUUGGUUUGGCGGAAGCUGACGCAAGUCUGCAAAUUGUCGAUACAAUACAUUUGGAGGUACCUUUUUUUUAGCACGAGCAUCUGCAAUUUCACGCAUUUUUUCAGCCGGCUCAACCAGUGUUAGAGUGUUAAUUUUUUUCCACUUGUAAAAUGGGAAAUUAGUACCUGGUCCACUCCCAACUUCUAAUACAUCACCCUUCGCAUUUCGUAAGAGGAAAUAUCGAAGAAAAUAUAUUCCAGAAAAUAUUUCCUCUCGCGUAAUUUUUCUGCUAUAUUUAUCAGCAAUUUGAUUAUAAAUUGAAAUACUAUUGCUGUUCGGAAUUAAUAAGUCUGACUUCUGUCGCGAUUCAUAAUUGAGAACAUCUUUCCUCAACCUCCAAGCUACCGCACCAAUGUAGACACCUAGACCGUAUAUACCUCCUAUAAAGAUAGUUUUCUUUAAUAUGCCCAUGUUUUUUAAUAUUUUUAAGUAUUUUAAUCGCUGAAUGAAUGAAAUGAGAAAAACAAGAUUUUAGCGGUUUGAUAUUAGAAUAUUUGAAAUCGCUAAAUUGACCCACACGCGCACUGCGAAAGGUACUAAACGGAAACCAAUACAAAACUAAAUCUCGAAUACUGAUUCAACGAACAAAUAAAA